AAAGAAAUUGAUCCAAUAUCACAAGAAGCCAUUGAAAAGUUUCAGCAACUAAAGAAACAACGAGAAGAAGGACAAAUUUCACUGGAUGAUGAUGCUAUGUUUGUUGAUGUACUUGGGCCAGAAAAAAAUGGUUAUGUACGUGCUUAUGGUCUUGGAAAAAAUGUCACGGAAUAUUUUGGUGCUAGACCUACAAAGAUAGAACUACUUAGACAACUUGAUACUUCAAGAAGAGAAGCAAACGAACGUGUCCAACAAAUUCAA